rnacentral:rRNA from 1 species
GACGGAGGGUGCAAGCGUUACUCGGAAUUACUGGGCGUAAAGCGUGCGUAGGUGGUGAGUUAAGUCUGUCGUGAAAGCCCCGGGCUCAACCUGGGAAUGGCGAUGGAUACUGGCUCGCUAGAGUGCGGUAGAGGAGAGUGGAAUUCCCGGUGUAGCAGUGAAAUGCGUAGAGAUCGGGAGGAACAUCAGUUGCGAAGGCGGCUCUCUGGACCAGCACUGACACUGAGGCACGAAAGCGUGGGGAGCAAACAGG